ACGAGUAACACUGAGUUGUCGCUGGCCUUUCGGGGCAUGUGCACACUCUUUCACUCAUCCACACACCUGUGAACCUAUGCGGAAUAAUGGGGGGAAGGCGAAAGGGCCGCAAGGUCUCGAUUAGUUUCCCCCCCAGCGUUUCGUUACUUUACACAAACACUACAAGUCUUAGAAUGUACACUUUGCUAUAAAACGCAUUAAAUA
rnacentral:misc_RNA from 1 species